rnacentral:rRNA from 1 species
UGCAGAGGUCCCAAGCGUUGUUCGGAUUCACUGGGCGUAAAGGGUGCGUAGGCGGUCGGGUAAGUCUGAUGUGAAAUCUCCAAGCCUAACUUGGAAACUGCAUUGGAUACUAUCCGGCUAGAGGAAUGGAGGGGAGACUGGAAUACUUGGUGUAGCAGUGAAAUGCGUAGAUAUCAAGUGGAACACCAGUGGCGAAGGCGAGUCUCUGGACAUUUCCUGACGCUGAGGCACGAAAGCCAGGGGAGCAAACGGGG